rnacentral:rRNA from 1 species
CCCUUUGUGAACAUACCUAACUGUUGCUUCGGCGGGUUAGGGGGUCCCCCCGGGGACGCCCUCCCGGCCGCGCCCUCCUCCUCCGGGAGGGGUCGCGGCGCCCGCCGGAGGAUAACCAAACUCUGAUUUAACGACGUUUCUUCUGAGUGGCACAAGCAAAUAAUUAAAACUUUUAACAACGGAUCUCUUGGUUCUGGCAUCGAUGAAGAACGCAGCGAAAUGCGAUAAGUAAUGUGAAUUGCAGAAUUCAGUGAAUCAUCGAAUCUUUGAACGCACAUUGCGCCCGCCAGCAUUCUGGCGGGCAUGCCUGUUCGAGCGUCAUUUCAACCCUCAAGCUUCGCUUGGUGUUGGGGCACUACGGUUGACGUAGGCCCUCAAAAGUAGUGGCGGACCCUCCCGGAGCCUCCUUUGCGUAGUAACUAACGUCUCGCAUCGGGAUCCGGAGGGACUCUUGCCGUAAAACCCCC